rnacentral:rRNA from 1 species
GACGGAGGGUGCUAGCGUUGUUCGGAAUCACUGGGCGUAAAGGGCGCGUAGGCGGCCUCAGGUGUCGGAUGUGAAAGCCCGGGGCUCAACCCCGGAGGUGCAUCCGAAACUCUGGGGCUGGAGGUCGGAAGAGGAGGGUGGAAUACCCAGUGUAGAGGUGAAAUUCGUAGAUAUUGGGUGGAACACCGGUGGCGAAGGCGGCGACCUGGUCCUUGACUGACGCUGAGGCGCGAAAGCGUGGGGAGCAAACAGG